CAGCAGUAGGGAAUCUUCCGCAAUGGACGAAAGUCUGACGGAGCAACGCCGCGUGAGUGAUGAAGGUUUUCGGAUCGUAAAACUCUGUUGUUAGGGAAGAACAAGUACCGUUCGAAUAGGGCGGCACCUUGACGGUACCUAACCAGAAAGCCACGGCUAACUACGUGCCAGCAGCCGCGGUAAUACGUAGGUGGCAAGCGUUGUCCGGAAUUAUUGGGCGUAAAGCGCGCGCAGGCGGUUUCUUAAGUCUGAUGUGAAAGCCCCCGGCUCAACCGGGGAGGGUCAUUGGAAACUGGGGAACUUGAGUGCAGAAGAGGAGAGUGGAAUUCCACGUGUAGCGGUGAAAUGCGUAGAGAUGUGGAGGAACACCAGUGGCGAAGGCGACUCUCUGGUCUGUAACUGACGCUGAGGCGCGAAAGCGUGGGGAGCGAACAGGAUUAGA
rnacentral:rRNA from 1 species